GGAAAAUGGCAAUUUCCGGUGGUUUUCAAUAUAUCUCCCUAUCCUCUAUCAAUCACAGCCCCCUUUCUAUCAACUUUACAUCUUUUCCGAUUUAUUUUUGACCCAAAGCAGGCCUAGAAGUCUCGACCAUCAUCAUUGCUCCGCCUGAAAGUGGGGGGAUGCGAAGAACCAUCGGAUUUUGGUUCAUCUCACCCUUAAUCUUAUGGGUAUGAGAGUGGAAGCCUCUCCAAAAUUACCAAUAAAAAGACCCCUUGGGUUCUCAAUCAAAAACAUCGGAGAGAUCCGGAAAAAUCUGGAACAACCAUCAAGAAAAACGGAUAGGAACUGCAAUCAAGGAUCCAACAAUAGAGAUAAGAACAGAUAGAAACAAUAUAUUUCAAAAGGGGACCGUUCGGUAAAAAAUUUCAUCUUCUCCUUCCUUUUGUUUUCGAUUUUUUGGGUGUGAGUUCAAGUGAGUUUGAGGUCGGAAUCCUUGACAUCAAAGCCUUUGUUUGCUGCUCCACACAAGAGCUGGAGUUUUUACUUUGGAACUCGUUAUUGGCCUAAGAUAUUAGGCCAACAGCAAUUAGGAUCAUCGCAACACUUGGGAGUCUCAUAAAUAGGAGUCCAACAUUACUUAGCCUUUCCUUUUUCGAGUUUGAUUAUAUUAUUUUGAUAUGUUGACUAACCUUUACUUAUGCCUACAUAACUCUUAAGUUUUCGAUACAUUGCUUGUCUUUUUAUUUGAAGAUUAUUUAUGUGAGCUAA